GAUGAACGCUGGCGGCGUGCCUAAUACAUGCAAGUCGAGCGAACGGACGAGAAGCUUGCUUCUCUGAUGUUAGCGGCGGACGGGUGAGUAACACGUGGAUAACCUUCCUCUAAGACUGGGAUAACUUCGGGAAACCGGAGCUAAUACCGGAUAAUAUUUUGAACCGCAUGGUUCAAAAGUGAAAGACGGUCUUGCUGUCACUUAUAGAUGGAUCCGCGCUGCAUUAGCUAGUUGGUAAGGUAACGGCUUACCAAGGCAACGAUGCAUAGCCGACCUGAGAGGGUGAUCGGCCACACUGGAACUGAGACACGGUCCAGACUCCUACGGGAGGCAGCAGUAGGGAAUCUUCCGCAAUGGGCGAAAGCCUGACGGAGCAACGCCGCGUGAGUGAUGAAGGUCUUCGGAUCGUAAAACUCUGUUAUUAGGGAAGAACAUAUGUGUAAGUAACUGUGCACAUCUUGACGGUACCUAAUCAGAAAGCCACGGCUAACUACGUG
rnacentral:rRNA from 1 species